AUGGCCCACAUAUCAGAUAUUAAACUGAUAAGAACAGAUACUACACUUGAUCUUAGCCAAAAGGCCGAGAAAGGUAUGAGUUGAACCGCUGCCCUGCCCCUCUAUUUGUACCCUCCUCGCCCUCCCGUCCCCUCCUCGCCGAGCGAUGUGGUACUAUUAAACGAGUUGCUCGCCCCUCGCGCUGCUGAGUGCGGACAGUGCAAGCAAUGCCCCCGAGCCAGCCUCUUGCGUGGGCCUCAAACAAAGAAGGCCUUUUCGCCGAUAUAUACUACACUUAAUCUUAACAUCAGCCUGAUUCGCGCCUCCUGCUGUUUUGCGAUCACCACGGAUGGGCGGCCUAGGGAGAACGAGCCGCGCGCACUGUCGAGCCUCUUCCUGUCACGGGCGGAGCUAUGUAUGUACAGCUAA
rnacentral:rRNA from 1 species